GUUGAUCCUGCGGGAGGUUGCUGCUAUUGGAGUUCGACUAAGCUAUGCAAGUCAGGGCGUAAGCCCGGCAAACUGCUCAGUAACACGUCGAUAAUCUGCCCUUAAGUCUGGGAUAACCUCGGGAAACUGAGGAUAAGACCGGAUAGGGGAAAGUCCCUGGAACGGCCUUUCCUUUAAAAGCAAUGCUUAAGGAUGAGUCGGCGGCGGAUUAGGUUGUUGGUGAGGUAAUGGCUCACCAAGCCGAAGAUCCGUAGGGGCCUUGAGAGAGGGAGCCCCGAGAAGGGCACUGAGAUACUGGCCCUAGCCCUAAGGGGUGCAGCAGGCGCGUAACCUUUACAAUGCACGAAAGUGUGAUAAGGGAACUCCAAGUGCUUAUACUUUGUAUAGGCUUUUGCCAUAUGUAAAUAGUAUGGCGAAUAAGUGGUGGGAAAGACAGGUGCCAGCCGCCGCGGUAACACCCGCGCCACGAGUGGCAACCGUUAUUAUUGGGCCUAAAGCGUCCGUAGCUGGUCUAGUAAAUCUCUUGUGAAAUUGUCGGGCCUAACUUGACAACGUGCAGGAGACACUGCUAGACUCGGAACCGGUAGGAGUCAGAAGUAUUUCCAGGGUAGCGGUAAAAUGUUAUAAUCCUGGAAGGACUACCUGUGGCGAAGGCGUCUGACUAGGACGGAUUCGACAGUGAGGGACGAAAGCCAGGGGAGCAAUCCGGAUUAGAUACCCGAGUAGUCCUGGCUGUAAACUCUGCGAGCAAGGUGUUGCAUAUUCCUCGAGAAUAUGCAGUAUCGAAGAGAAGUCGUUAAGCUUGCCGCCUGGGAAGUAUGGUCGCAAGACUGAAACUUAAAGGAAUUGGCGGGGGAGCACCACAAGGGGUGCGGCGUGCGGUUUAAUCUAAUUCAACACAGAGAAUCUCACCAGAAGCGACGGCAGGAUGAAGGUCAGAUUGAAUGUCUUACCUGACGAGCCGAGAGGUAGUGCAUGGCCGCCGUCAGCUCGUGCCGUAAGGUGUCCUGUUAAGUCAGGCAACGAGCGAGACCUGUACCCACAAUUGCUAACAACCAGCUUGCUGGGAUUGAGUACAUUGUGGGAACUGCCCUCGAAAGGGGGAGGAAGGUGCAGGCUACGGUAGGUCUGUAUGCUCCGAAUCUUCUGGGCUACACGCGCGCAACAAUGGUAGAGACAAUGGGAUGCUACUCUGAAAAGAGGAGCUAAACCUCAAACUCUAUCCAAGUCCAGAUUGAGGGCUGUAACUCGCCCUCAUGACGAUGGAAUCCCUAGUAAUCGUGAUUCAACAGAUCACGGUGAAUAUGUCCCUGCUCCUUGCACACACCGCCCGUCAAACCAACCGAGCAGGGUUUAGGUGAGUUUUGGCCUAUUAGCCAACCCGAAUCUAAGCUCAGUGAGGUGGGUUAAGUCGUCACAAGGUA
rnacentral:rRNA from 1 species